rnacentral:rRNA from 1 species
UACGGAGGGUGCAAGCGUUAUCCGGAUUCACUGGGUUUAAAGGGUGCGUAGGCGGGCAGGUAAGUCCGUGGUGAAAUCUCUGAGCUUAACUCAGAAACUGCCAUGGAUACUAUUUGUCUUGAAUGUUGUGGAGGUAAGCGGAAUAUGUCAUGUAGCGGUGAAAUGCUUAGAUAUGACAUAGAACACCAAUUGCGAAGGCAGUAUACUACACAAAUAUUGACGCUGAGGCACGAAAGCGUGGGGAUCAAACAGG